ACGGAGGGGGCUAGCGUUGUUCGGAUUUACUGGGCGUAGAGGGCACAUAGGCGGCCAGGCAAAUCAGUUGUGGAAUCCCGACGCCUACCGUCGGAACGGCAAUUGAAAAUACCUGGCUCGAGGGCAUGAGGGGUCGCGGGAACUCUUGGUGGAGCGGUGAAAUGCGUAGAUAUCAAGAGGAACGCCGGAGGCGAAAGCGCGCGACUGGCAUGUCCCUGACGCUGAGGUGCGAAAGCCGGGGGAGCAAACAGGA
rnacentral:rRNA from 1 species